rnacentral:rRNA from 1 species
AUUGAACGCUGGCGGCAGGCUUAACACAUGCAAGUCGAGCGAGCGGCGGACGGGUGAGUAAUGUCUGGGAAACUGCCUGAUGGAGGGGGAUAACUACUGGAAACGGUAGCUAAUACCGCAUACCAUCAGAUGUGCCCAGAGGGGAUUAGCUAGUGGGUGGGGUAAGGGCUCACCAAGGCGACGAUCCCUAGCUGGUCUGAGAGGCUGACCGGCCACACUGGAACUGAGACACGGUCCAGACUCCUACGGGAGGCAGCAGUGGGGAAUAUUGGACAAUGGGCGCAAGCCUGAUGCAGCCAUGCCGCGUGUGUGAAGAAGGCCUUCGGGUUGUAAAGCACUGUCAGCGGGGAGGCGUUACUCGCAGAGGAAGCACCGGCUAACUCCGUGCCAGCAGCCGCGGUAAUAC